rnacentral:rRNA from 1 species
UCGAUUCCCUUAGUAGCGGCGAGCGAAACGGGAAGAGCCCAAACCAACAAGCUUGCUUGUUGGGGUUGUAGGACACUCUAUACGGAGUUACAAAGGACGACAUUAGACGAAUCAUCUGGAAAGAUGAAUCAAAGAAGGUAAUAAUCCUGUAGUCGAAAAUGUUGUCUCUCUUGAGUGGAUCCUGAGUACGACGGAGCACGUGAAAUUCCGUCGGAAUCUGGGAGGACCAUCUCCUAAGGCUAAAUACUCUCUAGUGACCGAUAGUGAACCAGUACCGUGAGGGAAAGGUGAAAAGCACCCCGGAAGGGGAGUGAAAUAGAACCUGAAACCGUGUGCUUACAAGUAGUCAGAGCCCGUUAAUGGGUGAUGGCGUGCCUUUUGUAGAAUGAACCGGCGAGUUACGAUUUGAUGCAAGGUUAAGCAGUAAAUGUGGAGCCGUAGCGAAAGCGAGUCUGAAUAGGGCGUUUAGUAUUUGGUCGUAGACCCGAAACCAGGUGAUCUACCCUUGGUCA